GGAUGUGAGGGCGAUCUGGCUGCGACAUCUGUCACCCCAUUGAUCACCGGGGUUGAUUCGGCUGAUCUGGCUGCCUGGGCGGGUGUGCCCUUCCUCCCUCAACGACCCAUGUGUGUCCCUUCCGAAGCUGCAUGCUAGGUGGAAGAGGAUGACCACUCCCGAUAGAGGACUGUACCUCAGUCCAGCGUAUAGAGUAGCUGCGCUACCUCGCUAGAACCUCCAAACAAGCUCUCAAGGUUCAUAAAAUCGCUAUACCUUUAAUUCUUUCAUAGUUCACACAAAAUGUAGUUUUUACUUGGAAUAAAAAAAGAAAUU
rnacentral:snRNA from 1 species